rnacentral:tRNA from 1 species
GCGUAAUUGGUUUAGUGGUAAAAUUCUCCGUUGCCAUCAAGGUGAUUUCGGGGAGCCCUGGGUUCGAUUCCCAGAUUACGCA